rnacentral:lncRNA from 1 species
UGGUGGUGGCGCAGGUUGCUGGACAAGGUUGGUUGGUUAGGGCUCUGCCACUGGUGUGGUGUUGGUCGACUAUGCUGCUGCUGCCAUCGGUGCAGCAUUGAUCUACUGCGUCGGUGCCACCAUCGCCAGUGCAGUAUGCAGUUGCUGCAUUGCCUGGAUGGUAGUGGUCAGGGUCCGCAUCUGCUAAAAUAGGAGGUUGAACUACUCCACACUGAUGGCCACCAUCGAUGGCGGAGGUGGUGGAGGAACCUCCUGAAGUUGCACUUGGGC